AACGAACGCUGGCGGCAUGCCUAACACAUGCAAGUCGAACGAAGCCUUCGGGCUUAGUGGCGCACGGGUGCGUAACGCGUGGGAACCUGCCUUUCGGUUCGGAAUAACAGUUAGAAAUGACUGCUAAUACCGGAUGAUGUCUUCGGACCAAAGAUUUAUCGCCGAAAGAUGGGCCCGCGUAGGAUUAGCUAGUUGGUGGGGUAAGGGCUCACCAAGGCGACGAUCCUUAGCUGGUCUGAGAGGAUGAUCAGCCACACUGGGACUGAGACACGGCCCAGACUCCUACGGGAGGCAGCAGUGGGGAAUAUUGGACAAUGGGCGAAAGCCUGAUCCAGCAAUGCCGCGUGAGUGAUGAAGGCCUUAGGGUUGUAAAGCUCUUUUACCAGGGAUGAUAAUGACAGUACCUGGAGAAUAAGCUCCGGCUAACUCCGUGCCAGCCGCCGCAGUAACAC
rnacentral:rRNA from 1 species